CUACCCGGGUAUCUAAUCCUGUUUGCUACCCACGCUUUCGUGUCUCAGCGUCAGUUACGGUCCAGAGAGCCGUCUACACCGCCGGUGUUCCUCCUGAUAUCUACGCAUUUCACCGCUACACCAGGAAUUCCACUCUCCUCUCCCGCACUCGAGUCACUCAGUAUUCGGCGCACCCUCCCAGUUGAGCCGGGAGAUUUCACACCAAACUUAAGCAACCGCCUACACACCCUUUACGCCCAGUAACUCCGAACAACGCUCGCUGCCUACGUAUUACCGCGGCUGCUGGCAC
rnacentral:rRNA from 1 species